rnacentral:rRNA from 1 species
AUUGAACGCUGGCGGCAGGCCUAACACAUGCAAGUCGAGCGGAUGAAGGGAGCUUGCUCCUGGAUUCAGCGGCGGACGGGUGAGUAAUGCCUAGGAAUCUGCCUGGUAGUGUUGGAUAACGUCCGGAAACGGGCGCUAAUACCGCAUACGUCCUGAGGGAGAAAGUGGGGGAUCUGCGGACCUCACGCUAUCAGAUGAGCCUAGGUCGGAUUAGCUAGUUGGUGGGGUAAAGGCCUACCAAGGCGACGAUCCGUAACUGGUCUGAGAGGAUGAUCAGUCACACUGGAACUGAGACACGGUCCAGACUCCUACGGGAGGCAGCAGUGGGGAAUAUUGGACAAUGGGCGAAAGCCUGAUCCAGCCAUGCCGCGUGUGUGAAGAAGGUCUUCGGAUUGUAAAGCACUUUAAGUUGGGAGGAAGGGCAGUAAGUUAAUACCUUGCUGUUUUGACGUUACCAACAGAAUAAGCACCGGCUAACUUCGUG